CCCUUAGAUGUCCUGGGCCGCACGCGCGUUACACUGAUGCGUUCAACGAGCUUAUAACCUUGGCCGAGAGGCCUGGGCAAUCUUGUUAACGUGCAUCGUGAUAGGGAUAGAUUAUUGAAAUUAUUAAUCUUGAACGAGGAAUUCCUAGUAAACGCAGAUCAUCAAUCUGCAUUGAUUACGUCCCUGCCCUUUGUACACACCGCCCGUCGCACCUACCGAUUGGAUGGUCCGGUGAAGCCUCGGGAUUGUGGUUCUUGCCGCUUUAUUGUGGCGUGACCGCGAGAACUUGUCUAAACCUUAUCAGCUAGAGGAAGGUGAAGUCGUAACA
rnacentral:rRNA from 1 species